rnacentral:rRNA from 1 species
GAUGAACGCUGGCGGCAUGCCUAAUACAUGCAAGUCGAACGAGAUAUCUUCGGAUAUCUAGUGGCGAACGGGUGAGUAACACGUAGGUAACCUACCCAUGUACCUGGGAUAACUGCUGGAAACGGUAGCUAAAACCGGAUAUGUGUAUUUCUCGCAUGAGGAAUAUAUGAAAGCACCUUAUGGGUGUGGACAUGGAUGGACCUGCGGCGCAUUAGCUAGAUGGUGAGGUAACGGCUCACCAUGGCGAUGAUGCGUAGCCGACCUGAGAGGGCGAACGGCCACAUUGGAACUGAGACACGGUCCAA